UGGGGAAUUUUGGACAAUGGGGGCAACCCUGAUCCAGCAAUGCCGCGUGAGUGAAGAAGGCCUUCGGGUUGUAAAGCUCUUUUGUCAGGGAAGAAACGGUGAGGGCUAAUAUCCUUUGCUAAUGACGGUACCUGAAGAAUAAGCACCGGCUAACUACGUGCCAGCAGCCGCGGUAAUACGUAGGGUGCAAGCGUUAAUCGGAAUUACUGGGCGUAAAGCGUGCGCAGGCGGUUAUGUAAGUCAGAUGUGAAAUCCCCGGGCUCAACCUGGGAAUGGCAUUUGAGACUGCAUGGCUAGAGUGUGUCAGAGGGGGGUAGAAUUCCACGUGUAGCAGUGAAAUGCGUAGAGAUGUGGAGGAAUACCGAUGGCGAAGGCAGCCCCCUGGGAUAACACUGACGCUCAUGCACGAAAGCAUGGGGAGCAAACAGG
rnacentral:rRNA from 1 species